rnacentral:rRNA from 1 species
CUCGUAGGCGGUUCGUCGCGUCCGGUGUGAAAGUCCAUCGCUUAACGGUGGAUCCGCGCCGGGUACGGGUCGGGCUUGAGUGCGGUAGGGGAGACUGGAAUUCCCGGUGUAACGGUGGAAUGUGUAGAGUAAUCGGGAAGAACACCAAUGGCGAAGGCAGGUCUCUGGGCCGUUACUGACGCUGAGGAGCGAAAGCGUGGGGAGCGAACA